rnacentral:rRNA from 1 species
GACGUAGGGUCCAAGCGUUGUCCGGAUUUACUGGGCGUAAAGAGCGCGUAGGCGGCUCGUUAAGUGUAGAGUGAAAUCUCUGGGCUCACCCCAGAAACUGCUCUGCAUACUGGCGAGCUUGAGUGAUGAAGAGGUUUGUGGAAUUCCUGGUGUAACGGUGAAAUGUGUUGAUAUCAGGAGGAACACCGGUGGCGAAGGCGGGUCUCUGGGCAGUAACUGACGCUGAGGAGCGAAAGUGUGGGGAGCGAACAGG